UACGAAGGGGGCUAGCGUUGCUCGGAUUGACUGGGCGUAAAGGGCGCGUAGGCGGUUCGUACAGUCAGACGUGAAAUUCCUGGGCUCAACCUGGGGGCUGCGUUUGAUACGUGCGGACUUGAGUGCGGAAGAGGGUCGUGGAAUUCCCAGUGUAGAGGUGAAAUUCGUAGAUAUCAGGAGGAAUACCGAUGGCGAAGGCAGGUCUCUGGGCUGACACUGACGCUCAUGCACGAAAGCGUGGGGAGCAAACAGG
rnacentral:rRNA from 1 species